AGCAGCAGUGGGGAAUUUUGGACAAUGGGCGAAAGCCUGAUCCAGCCAUGCCGCGUGAGUGAAGAAGGCCUUCGGGUUGUAAAGCUCUUUCGGCUGGGACGAAAAGGUCCGUGCUAACACCACGGAUCCAUGACGGUACCAGCAGAAGAAGCACCGGCUAACUACGUGCCAGCAGCCGCGGUAAUACGUAGGGUGCAGGCGUUAAUCGGAAUUACUGGGCGUAAAGCGUGCGCAGGCGGUUUUCUAAGACAGGUGUGAAAUCCCCGGGCUUAACCUGGGAACUGCGCUUGUAACUGGCAGGCUAGAGUGUGGCAGAGGGGGGUGGAAUUCCACGUGUAGCAGUGAAAUGCGUAGAUAUGUGGAGGAACACCGAUGGCGAAGGCAGCCCCCUGGGCUAACACUGACGCUCAUGCACGAAAGCGUGGGGAGCAAACAGGAUUAGAUACCCUGGUAGUCCACGCCCUAAACUAUGUCAACUGGUUGUCGGGGAAGCAAUUCCUUGGUAACGAAGCUAACGCGUGAAG
rnacentral:rRNA from 1 species